UACAGAGGGGGCAAGCGUUGUUCGGACUUACUUGGCGUAAAUGGCGCGUAGGCGGCCUUCUAAGUCGAACGUGAAAUCCCCGGGCUCAACCCGGGAACUGCGUCCGAUACUGGAAGGCUUGAAUCCGGGAGAGGGAUGUGGAAUUCCAGGUGUAGCGGUGAAAUGCGUAGAUAUCUGGAGGAACACCGGUGGCGAAGGCGGCAUCCUGGACCGGUAUUGACGCUGAGGAGCGAAAGCCAGGGGAGCAAACGGG
rnacentral:rRNA from 1 species